rnacentral:rRNA from 1 species
GAUGAACGCUAGCUACAGGCUUAACACAUGCAAGUCGAGGGGUAACGGGAGGAAAGCUUGCUUUCCUUGUCGACGACCGGCGCACGGGUGAGUAACGCGUAUCCAACCUGCCCCCAACUAGGGAAUAACCGUGCGAAAGUAAGACUAAUACCCUAUAAUUUCCUCAGAUGUCAUCUGACGAGGACUAAAGAUUUAUCGUUUGUGGCUGGGGAUGCGUCUGAUUAGCUUGUUGGCGGGGUAACGGCCCACAAAGGAAACGAUCAGUAGGGGUUCUGAGAGGAAGGUCCCCCACAUUGGAACUGAGACACGGUCCAAACUCCUACGGGAGGCAGCAGUGAGGAAUAUUGGUCAAUGGGCGGAAGCCUGAACCAGCCAAGUAGCGUGCAGGAUGACGGCCCUAUGGGUUGUAAACUGCUUUUAUACAGGAAUAAAGUUAGCCACGUGUGGUUAUUUGUAGGUACUGUAUGAAUAAGGACCGGCUAAUUCCGUGCCAGCCGCCGCCGUAA